rnacentral:rRNA from 1 species
GUAGGUGGCAAGCGUUGUCCGGAAUUAUUGGGCGUAAAGCGCGCGCAGGCGGUUCUUUAAGUCUGAUGUGAAAGCCCACGGGCUCAACCGUGGAGGGUCAUUGGAAACUGGAGAACUUGAGUACAGAAGAGGAAAGCGGAAUUCCACGUGUAGCGGUGAAAUGCGUAGAGAUGUGGAGGAACACCAGUGGCGAAGGCGGCUUUCUGGUCUGUAACUGACGCUGAGGCGCGAAAGCGUGGGGAGCAAACAGGAUUAGAUACCCUGGUAGUCCACGCCGUAAACGAUGAGUGCUAAGUGGUUUAGGGGGUUUCCCGCCCCUUAGUGCUGCAGCUAACGCAUUAAGAACUCCGCCUGGGGAGUACGGCCGCAAAGGCUG